rnacentral:rRNA from 1 species
UUAUUUAGUUUGUUUAUUAAAUUUAAAGUUAUUUGAUUCAUCUUAUUGAAGAGUAUUGGUGAGAGAAAUUAUUUUGUUUUUUUUUAAGAUUGAGUAAGGACAUUUGGUAUUAUGGUAUGAGUAAUUUUGCCUUUUGUAUAAUGAUUAAAUGAGUUUUUUUAAGGGUAGUUAGGUUCUCGAAGAAAGUUGAGUUACUUAGGCUUGAAUAAUAUAGAGUUGCAAUUUUGUGUUAAGAGGUGUAAGUAGAGGUGAUAUGCUAAUCGGAUUUUUGGAUAGCUAGUUAUCGCAGGUGUGUUGAAAACAAGUAGAUAAUUGUAAAUUUAUUUGGUAGUUAGGGACAGCUUAAUUUCCUAUGUAAGAGGGGUAUGUUAUUAGUUUGUUUUUAAUUUAGUUUUAUUUGAUUAAGAGAAUUGGUAUGUGUGCUUUAGUAUGUGAUUUUAAUUAUGUUUGAAUUAGUAUUUUUUGAUAUAUGUAUGUUAUGUUUAAAAUAAAUUGGUAAAUGUAUUAAGAGUUUGAAGGGUGACUGAGGAAUUUGACUAAGGUUGUGACUGUUUAAUAAAUUCUUUGUUUAUCGAUUUUAAUGAUAGAUCCUGCCUGCUCGAUGAUUGGUUGUUAAAUAGAUAUUGGAAUUAAAGUAGCGUAGUAAUUUGGUUAUUAAUUGUAGUCUAGUGAGGGUCUGCCGUGAUCUUGUUGUCUUAGUCAUAUAUAAGAAAUUUCUUUUUGGUGAAAAUGCCAAAAUUGUAACUUGAGAAAAAAAGCCCCUAGGUGGUUUAAGUUAAUUAGUAUUUGUUAUAAUAUUAAAAUCUUUGGGUUGGGGCAGCUAUAGAUGAUUGUAAUUUCAAGUGGAGAGGGCUCUAAUUAUGAGUUUUUAAUAUUAUAGAUCCCUUCAAUUAGAGGGAAUGGUAAAACUAACCCUAGGGUUAACAGCGCAAUUAAUUAGGAUAGUGCAUAUUGAUUAAUUAGUUUACGACCUCGGUGUCGACUUAGAUUAUAUUCUAUGUGUAGAAGCAUAGGUAGUUUGUUUGUUCACCAAUUAAAAAUUUACGUGAGUUGGGUUUAGAACGGGGUGACUUAGUUCGGAUUUUUUCUAGGAGAUAUAAGUGGCGUUAGUACGAAAGGAACGCGC